AAAAACCCAAACAAAACCUUAAUACAGCAGCACAGAAGUUGGUAUCCUGAGAAACAACAAUAAUAAUAAUAUGAAGUAAUCACUGAUUAAAUUUGGGAAAAAUAUAAUCCAGGGACGUGUGAUGUUUAUUAAUCAGUCAAACCUGGAAAAAAAUAACUUGGCUACAGUAGAUAGAAAUGAGGAUAAGGAGUUUAUUUUAAACUAACAUAUGGCACAGAAAUAUAUUAGUCACCAUUAGAAUCCUGUACAAACGUAUACAGAUGUUGUAGAGGCUUUUAUUAUACCAGACUUUAAUAUAAAGAAGGCAAAAGGAUCAAUGAUGGACUUUCAGUAUACACAGGAAAAUGGUUGCAAUAUUAUUAACUGUCCAGUGGGUUGAAGACACGAGACCAUUAAGAUCAGUAAUUUGUUCAGAUUCCAGUUCAUCGUUAGUAAGUUUACAAUGCAACCAUGCAGAAAGUCGACCAGAAAUCUUAAUAGAAACUCAACAAACACCAUGCAGAGUAAACAUAACAGGACUAAUGAUUAACUUUUGUAUGGCCACCAGCAUAUUAUAGUGUUAAGGGAAAUGAAAUGGCAGAUAAGGCUGCAAAAAAGAGCCACUGGAAAAAGAUUAGUGCAAUUAAUUAUCAGCUGUAGUAAAACAGAAAUAAAAAAAUCAAUUAGAACAGAAAAUAAAGGAGAGAUUGCAAAAAUAAUGGGAGAAAGAAAGGAAAGGACGGUGGUUUUAUAAAAUCCAAAGGAAAACUGGAGAAAUGAGAAACAAUCAUUUCACGUCUCAGAUUUGGGCACGCUGGGAUAAACGGAACACUUUUCAUUUUAGGGAAACAUUGCACCGGAAUAUGCGAGCGCUGUGCUGAGACAGUAGCUCAUGUUAUAUUACACUGACAGGAGUGUGAGGAAGAAAGAGAAGACAACUGAUUCAAAACCUAAAUACAAUCAAACUCAAACUAGAUUUAAUUGGAUUUGCUUAGAAAUAACUGAAGUACUAAAAGCUAUCGAGCAAUAUUUAACUAGCAUGAUAGGAUCUAAUCCUUAAGUGACAGUCUGGUCUGCUCUCCAUACCAGUUGGUGGCGGUAAUGCACGAAGUCGUUGUUUGUCAACCGCCAAUAAACACCAAGAAGAAGAAGAAGAAGAAGAAGAAGAAGGCGCUAACUUGAGCUCCGGUUGGUGGCGCUAAUAUACCAUAACCACACUGAUGACGACGACGAAGAAGAAAAUAAUGGAGCGCUCUCUCUUGAUUUCAACAUCGUUUUUGUUUUGUUUUUUAUUUCUAUUUCAUCUAUUCAUAAAUAACAGAUAUCAGUGGUUUUUAUUAUAAUUUUGUCGUGUCAUGUACACGAAGGGGAGCGAAAAACGGAGGCUGGGCAGAUGCUCCACGAAGAAACACGAAGAAACAGAGGACUUCAUCUACGGGGGCCAAAGACUGCUACCGCAGUUCAAGGGAAGAUCAACAGUGGACAACAACAGUUACUUCAAGGCAUUUAAUAAUGAAGAAUCCUCCAGCAGAAGCUCGGGGAGGGAUACAUAACAUUACAACAUCAGGACAAAAUUCAGUUUCAAAUGAGAUUGGCUCAAGUUCAGCUCACCAAAAGCCGGAAGCGAUUUAAUAAGGCACACACUAAAUGGGAGUGGUGAGUGACUGGAUCUGUUAUGGCAGUGCCAUUUAGAAGAAACCUCUCCUCGCUGCAGCCGUGUUGGGCAGACAGAUAGACAACCACACACUUUCACAACUUACUUAAAGACUAAUUUAUUAUUUUGUUUUGUUUUUUUCAUUUCCAAUACCCAGUUUCCUGGGAAAAUAUUAUAUUUUCAACUGUGAAUCACCAGAUUUGUUGUAUUUCUGUUCUGUGUACCAACACUGUUUGUUAUUCAUUUGUUACUCCUCUGUUCUCUGUUUUCUUGUCUCCCAUCUCUAAUCUGUUGCUCUAACAUUUUUGUUCACUGCAUCUUUCAUUUCUCUCAAACACACACGUAUCUAUCCUUUCCAUUCCAGGUUAUUGGCUGUACUUGUCCUGCUGAUUUAACUAUAGUAAAACUCUGUUAUCUGUAAAUCUGGUGGGAUUUUGUCUUUCACUGCAUGUUGAAAAGGGGAUUUUAAAGGUUGACAUCUCAAUAUAAGCUGGACAUGUCUGACAGCCUGGUCGUACUUCUUUUCCUCAAAUUUGACUGAGAGGCAGGCUGGAUCACUUUGAGCGGCAGGAGAAGGAGAAG
ensembl:lncRNA